GCGUUGGUGGUUUAGUGGUAAAAUUGGCCGUUGCCAUGCGAAUAUCGUCCAGAUAUUAGCUGCAAUUAACUCGGCCAGCCCCGGGUUCGAUUCCCGGCCGACGCA